GACGAACGCUGGCGGCGUGCCUAACACAUGCAAGUCGAACGGAGCUGCUUUGAUGAAGUUUUCGGAUGGAUUUAAAACAGCUUAGUGGCGGACGGGUAAGUAACGCGUGGGUAACCUGCCUCACACUGGGGGAUAACAGUUAGAAAUAGCUGCUAAUACCGCAUAAGCGCACAGUUCCGCAUGGAACAGUGUGAAAAACUCCGGUGGUGGGAGAUGGCCCCGCGUCUGAUUAGCCAGUUGGCGGGGUAACGGCCCACCAAAGCGACGAUCAGUAGCCGGCCUGAGAGGGUGAACGGCCACAUUGGGACUGAGACACGGCCCAAACUCCUACGGGGGGCAGCAGUGGGGAAUAUUGCACAAUGGGGGAAACCCUGAUGCAGCGACGCCGCGUGAGUGAAGAAGUAUUUCGGUAUGUAAAGCUCUAUCAGCAGGGAAGAAAGUGACGGUACCUGAAUAAGAAGCCCCGGCUAACUACGUGCCAGCAGCCGCGGUAA
rnacentral:rRNA from 1 species